GUAACGCGUAAAGAACUUGCCUCACAGAUAGGGACAACAUUUGGAAACGAAUGCUAAUACCUGAUAUUAUGAUUUUAGGGCAUCCUAGGAUUACGAAAGCUAUAUGCGCUGUGAGAGAGCUUUGCGUCCCAUUAGCUAGUUGGAGAGGUAACGGCUCACCAAGGCGAUGAUGGGUAGCCGGCCUGAGAGGGUGAUCGGCCACAAGGGGACUGAGACACGGCCCUUACUCCUACGGGAGGCAGCAGUGGGGAAUAUUGGACAAUGGACCAAGAGUCUGAUCCAGCAAUUCUGUGUGCACGAUGAAGUUUUUCGGAAUGUAAAGUGCUUUCAGUUGGGAAGAAAAGAAUGACGGUACCAACAGAAGAAGUGACGGCUAAAUACGUGCCAGCAGCCGCGGUAAUACGUAUGUCACAAGCGUUAUCCGGAUUUAUUGGGCGUAAAGCGCGUCUAGGUGGUUAUGUAAGUCUGAUGUGAAAAUGCAGGGCUCAACUCUGUAUUGCGUUGGAAACUGUGUAACUAGAGUACUGGAGAGGUAAGCGGAACUACAAGUGUAGAGGUGAAAUUCGUAGAUAUUUGUAGGAAUGCCGAUGGGGAAGCCAGCUUACUGGACA
rnacentral:rRNA from 1 species